rnacentral:misc_RNA from 1 species
AACCAUAGAAACCUGCGGAGUACCUGCGGAGGGAUCAUUACAGAGUUGCAAAACUCCCUAAACCAUUGUGAACGUUACCUAAACCGUUGCUUCGGCGGGCGGCCCGGGUCCUCCCCGGCGCCCAUCGGCCCUCGCGGGCGCCCGCCGGAGGUAAACCAAACUAUUGCAUUGUAUGGCCUCUCUGAGUCUUCUGUACUGAAUAAGUCAAAACUUUUAGCAACGGAUCUCAGAUCGGAAGAG